rnacentral:rRNA from 1 species
UACGUAGGGUGCAAGCGUUGUCCGGAAUUAUUGGGCGUAAAGAGCUCGUAGGCGGUGUGUCGCGUCGGCCGUGAAAACCUGCAGCUUAACUGUGGGCUUGCGGUCGAUACGGGCAUCACUGGAGUUCGGCAGGGGAGACUGGAAUUCCUGGUGUAGCGGUGAAAUGCGCAGAUAUCAGGAGGGACACCGGUGGCGAAGGCGGGUCUCUGGGCCGAUACUGACGCUGAGGAGCGAAAGCGUGGGGAGCGAACAGG